rnacentral:tRNA from 1 species
GCCCUUAUAGCACAGUGGUAGUGCGUUGCACUUGUAAUGCAAAGGUCCCAGGUUCAAUCCCUGGUGAGGGCA